UACGAGGGGGGCAAGUGUUGUUCGGAAUCACUGGGCGUAAAGGGAGCGUAGGCGGGCUUUUAAGUUAGGUGUUUAAUCCCGGGGCCCAACCCCGGACCGGCACCUAAAACUGGGAGUCUUGAAUAGUGGAGAGGUCAGUGGAAUUGGGGGUGUAGCGGUGGAAUGCGCAGAUAUCAGGAGGAACACCGGUGGCGAAGGCGGGUCUCUGGGCAACAACUGACGCUGAGGAGCGAAAGCGUGGGGAGCGAACAGG
rnacentral:rRNA from 1 species